ACGCGGGGCUUGGCCGGGGAGGGGCGCUUCUGGGAGACGCGGCUCCUCCCGCGGGAGGUGAGACAGGAAAGGCGGAGCUUGGCCGGCGGGCGGGAUGAAGGAGGGGAGCGAGGGGGGCGGGGGGGCGGUAUUCCCGGAGGGAAACUUAGUUGUGAUUGGUUGGAAUAGUCCGGGAGCUAGAGACAGACAACUGAGGCGGGGUUACAUGGAAACAGGACCAGGAAACAGUCAUCUAAAGACGUCCCCCGAGGAGUGCAGAGGCCAGCAAAGCAGGUGUCACGACACCCAUUUCACAGACCAGAAGACCAGAGCCCAAAGAUGGUCCAUCAGCUAUAGAGCUGGGACUAGAACCGUCUUUCUGCCCCCAGCCCGGACUGUGUCCCCACCCUGCCCCCCAUGCAGAUGGGAAACUGAGGUCCAGAGAAGGGAAGCAAUUUGACCAAGAUCACACGGGGGUCAGCGGCAGAGCCAGAACUCAUCCCAAGGCUCCUACCGAUGUCCCUCCUGGCAGAGUCCUCCAGAGUCUGCCCCCCCAGACCUGGCAGAGGCAUCCCCAGGAAGGUAAGAGGCUCAUCAGGGACCCAAGGCAGACGGCAGGCGGCAGGCACAUGCACCUUGUCCUUGGCCUAUCCUGUCCCCCUCUCCAGCCCCCGAACUGGCUGGGGCAAGGAGGAGUGGGGACAGGAGGAGCAGGCGAGGGGGUACCUCGGUCUCCAGCUGGCGUGGAUCCGAAAGAAACUCCGUUUAUUACUAAACAUCUGGCUGGAAGUUGAGAACAAGACACAAACAGGUUAGUGGGGAGGGGGCAGGUGGGCAGAGCAGGGGGGGCUGCCAGGAUGGGGCUGGCUUCCUGUGGCUGGUGGGAGAGAAGAACCCCCACCCAAAUCAUCCUCCAGCCCGCAUCCCCAGGAUGCAGAGAUUCUCAAGAUCUGCACACGGAUCUCCUGGGGAGCAUGUUAAAUAGGCAGAAUUCUGUGCCUCUUCUCCAGAGAUUCUCCUUCCGUGGGCUUGGGGAGACAUCCGGGCAUCCGCAUUUUGAACAAACACCCCACAGGUGCUGAUUCAGGAAGUCAGUGGACCAUGCCUUGAGAAAUACCAUCUUAGCGCCUCAUCGAGAAACCUCAAAGAGAGGAGGUGCUGACCCUGGCAAUACCAUCCCCCAGGAAGUUCUGUUCCUUGUAGUCUUGGAACGUGCUCAGCCUGGGUCCAUCCACAAGUAGCACUAAGGGGAUGACCAAUGAGGAGGAGUAUAUAAGUGUAUGUGGGUGUGUGGGUGUGUGGGGGGGUCCUGUCUGGAGUACCCACCCCAUAGGUCCAGAAAGCCAAGAGUGAGGAUAUGCCCACUUGGCCUGAGCCUGAUGACUGAUGUCCUAGAAGUCACAGCUCAAACCCCUGGGGUCUCUAGGAAGAAGGGACACUCCACCACCAUCACCAUGAGCCCCAGCCACACAGACACUCCAGGGCAGACAGACACAAGGCUGGGAGUUAGUGAUGGCCAAGCCCCUAGCAGUCAUCUGGUCCUAGGCUUUGGGGGACCCAGAGUCCUGGAGCAGCGGUGGGAGGGAGGGGUGUUCCGCUCCAGGUUAGUCUCAAUUUUCAGUACCUUUCUAUCCAGGCAAGGUGAGACCAGAGCAAACCGGACGCUCCAGAGAGCACUGGUUCAGGCCCUGGGCAGGGCUGCUCAAAUACCAAAACUCUUGAGUCUUACCUAUAAGCUGUGGUUGGGUGAGGUUGGGGAGGACAGUGAAGGGCCUUCAGGCAGGGACAAGAGAAUCCGGCUAGGACCACACCAGGGACUCUCUUCCAGGGAGCUCCCAGCCUGGCCUGCCCAGUCAUGCUGCCCCUCCCUCUACCCCCUGACCUGAAGGGACCCUCAUUCUCCCUGCUUCCUGUUCGGCCCCUGGCCAGAAAUGCCCUCACAGAGAAGAGGGAAGACAUGUCGUUCCCAGCAUCCUUUGCACCAACACUCCCUCCUCCCUGUUCCCCAGGCCUUUUAAGCCCAGAAACCCAGAGAACCCAGAGCCCCUGAUCAUCCUAAACAUUGCUGAUGUUCCGCCUAGGACCCAGAGGCCCAGAGUCCCUCAGUGACUGUCUCAAGGACACACAGCAUGAGGCGGCAGAGACAAACUUUCACCACGCCACCUUCUGAUCACUGAAUGGCUGGUCUCUUCUCGCCUCCCUUGUUCUGGGUCCUGGCCUCAGAAUCACAACUGAGGCUCAACGCCCAGAUGUCUACCUGGCUGAUCAGGGAUGAUGUGUGAAGAUGAAACAAAAGAAAGAGAUGGGUAGGGGUCAGGGCAGGAAUGAGGGGGGAUUGAAUCCUUGACCUCAAAGCUACACUUCUAUGGGAGCGGCCACUUUCCCAUACUGUGAGUUAGUGAGCUUCCCUUAUCCCAAAAUGCCUGAAACUCCACUAUUUUGAACAUUUAUGUGGGGGUGAGCAUCGUUCUUUCUUUGUUCUUCUUUCAGGAUGCAAAAGCUCCAGGAGAGACAGGUCAAGGGGAAAGAGACAGUUACGAGCAGCAAAAUGUCCCUCAGUAAGGAAGAAAGGCAUUAUAGGAGCAUCCCAAGAGGACCCUCUGGGAUUAGCCAAGCUGCAGACAAGGGUUGCACAAGACAAGAGCAUUAGUCAUUGGUUGCGUUUACGUAGGUCCUAGAGCGGUUCUUGGGCACAGAGCUCUCUCUCCAGCUGGCUCCUCACUCCCGAGAGGCAAGUUCAGGGGCAAGCCCCUUCUAGAGGAACAUGCUGGGGGAGGGGGUUCCCUGCCCUCAUGCCCCAGAAUGGUGCCCACGAUUACCUGAGCCGUAAGCACCUGUGGCCAGCGGCCUCCUCCUCUCUCCAGCUGCCCAGGAGGGAUGGGGGUGCAGGGAUGGAAGAGUGAGGGGGACGCGGAAACAGAGAAA